GUACGGCAUUGCAAGCACCAAAAUUGUGCAUACCAUGGAUCUAACAAGGACUGCCAGGAGAAAUAACAACCGGUUUUUAGGCUAUGGAAUGCAUUGCCUGGAAACGUGGUGGAGACAGGUUCAACCGAGGCAUUCAAGAGAGUAUUAGAUUUUUGUUUGGAUAGUGUUGGUGUGGAGGGAUUUGGGGAAACAGCAGGAGAUUAGAGGUACCUUUUCACGUGAAACAUCUUCAGAGUA